UCUCAUGCAGACCCACAGUGAUUUGAGUGGGCCCACAUGUGAUGAUCAACAAGUCCUCACUCUCACUCCCAUUUCCACACAUCCAACAGAUGAGCUAAAGAUGGUUCAGGUCAAGUUCACUCACAAGGACAAAGAGAAAUUGAGAGAGGAAGAGGAGAUAGAAAGAGAGAUACCUGCAGACCCACUUCACCACUUGUGAAGCUUCACUUCUGCAGGUGGGGACCAGGGGCUUGAACACAGGUCUUUGCACAUGUCUCACCAGGGCUGGGAUGCUUGUCACUUUCAUCCAUGGUGUGUCCCCAUGGCUCAGCACAGUCUCAGGAAUUUGGUACUUCAG